rnacentral:rRNA from 1 species
UACGUAGGGCGCAAGCGUUGUCCGGAAUUAUUGGGCGUAAAGAGCUCGUAGGCGGUUUGUCGCGUCUGCUGUGAAAACCUAAGGCUCAACCUUGGGCUUGCAGUGGGUACGGGCAGACUAGAGUGCGGUAGGGGUGACUGGAAUUCCUGGUGUAGCGGUGGAAUGCGCAGAUAUCAGGAGGAACACCGAUGGCGAAGGCAGGUCACUGGGCCGCAACUGACGCUGAGG